UUAAACUUGUCGGGUAUGUCUUAACAUGCAGUCGACGGCAGCAUGAUCUAGCUUGCUAGAUUGAUGGCGAGUGGCGAACGGGUGAGUAAUACAUCGGAACGUGCCCUGUAGUGGGGGAUAACUAGUCGAAAGAUUAGCUAAUACCGCAUACGACCUGAGGGUGAAAGUGGGGGACCGCAAGGCCUCAUGCUAUAGGAGCGGCCGAUGUCUGAUUAGCUAGUUGGUGGGGUAAAGGCCCACCAAGGCGACGAUCAGUAGCUGGUCUGAGAGGACGAUCAGCCACACUGGGACUGAGACACGGCCCAGACUCCUACGGGAGGCAGCAGUGGGGAAUUUUGGACAAUGGGCGAAAGCCUGAUCCAGCAAUGCCGCGUGUGUGAAGAAGGCCUUCGGGUUGUAAAGCACUUUUUGUCCGGAAAGAAAUGGCUCUGGUUAAUACCUGGGGUCGAUGACGGUACCGGAAGAAUAUAGGACCCGCCUAACUACGUGCCAGCAGCCGCGGUAAUACGUAGGGUCCAAGCGUUAAUCGGAAUUACUGGGCGUAAAGCGUGCGCAGGCGGUUGUGCAAGACCGAUGUGAAAUCCCCGAGCUUAACUUGGAAUUGCAUUGGUGACUGCACGGCUAGAGUGUGUCAGAGGGGGUAGAAUUCCACGUGUAGCAGUGAAUGCGUAGAGAUGUGGAGGAAUACCCGAUGGCGAAGCAGCCCCUGGGAUAAACACUGACCGCCUCAUGCACGAAAGCGUGGGGGAGCAAACAGGAUAAGAUACCUGUAGUCCACGCCUAAACGAAUGUCCACUAGUGUGGG
rnacentral:rRNA from 1 species